rnacentral:rRNA from 1 species
UACGGGGGGGGCAAGCGUUGUUCGGAAUUACUGGGCGUAAAGGGCUCGUAGGCGGCCGGCUAAGUCCGACGUGAAAUCCCCAGGCUUAACCUGGGAACUGCGUCGGAUACUGGCGGGCUUGAAUCCGGGAGAGGGAUGCGGAAUUCCAGGUGUAGCGGUGAAAUGCGUAGAUAUCUGGAGGAACACCGGUGGCGAAGGCGGGUCUCUGGGCAGUAACUGACGCUGAGGAGCGAAAGCGUGGGGAGCGAACAGG